AUUAGAUACCCUAGUAGUCCAAGCAGAAAAUUAUGAAUGCCAUAGAUUAGAUACACUAUCUUUUUAUACUUUUAGCUAUAUUGAGAUAUCUUUUUCUUUUGUAAAAAAAAAAGGAUACUUUUUUCUUGCUUCGCAUGAAAAAAAGGGGUGUUUUAUAUUUAGUCUAUAAAUGAAAGUGUAAGCAUUUCACCUCAAGAGUAAUGUGGCAACACAGGAACUGAAAUCAUUAGACCGUUUCUGAAACCAGUAGUGAAGUAUGUUAUUUAAUUCGUAGUUACGCGAAAAACCUUACCACAAUUUGAAUAUUAUCUUAAUACUAACAUUGUUAGUAGAAAGAUAUUACAAGCGUUGCACGGCUGUCUGCAGUUAAUGUCGUGAGAUAUUGGUUAAUUCCAUUAAAUUAACGGAAACCCUUGCUUUAUUUGUAUUUUAAAGAAAUAAAGCUGCACACCUUUAUAUUGGUUAUGUUA
rnacentral:rRNA from 1 species